ensembl:lncRNA
AUGUUUGAACAAGACUUCAGUGCCUUAGCGCUCACUGCACUCCCCACUCCUGUUCUCCAGGGCUGCAACGCAGACCUCCCAUGCAGAGCUGUCAGGCCAUGGUGCUUUCUCCCCAAGCCCCAGGGGAGGAAAAAUGAGGGAACAGGCAGUGGGCAGAGAAGAUUUUAUGCUGAGAGACUGAGCUUGUCAUCUGCCAUGAGGUGUGCAGCUGUGGAUAGGCCCAAGGUGACAGAGGCAUCACUUCUGAGAGAAGAAACCCUGCCUGGUGGGCACUCUUUCCCUUCAGUGAACCCCCCUUGGGUUUCAUUGCAGCUGAAGGGUGAGCAGCAUCAGUUCAGUAGCUGUGUGGGGAAAGCCAGUCCUCCUGACACAACAGCACAGCAAUACGCUUUCACUGGGAUUUCCAAAAGAGAUUCUUCAGGCUUCGGCCAGAAUGUAUUCUUCUUGUGUGUGAACAAGCCUCCUUCAGCCCUCUGAGCUGUGUUAUUUUGAAAAUGUCCCUCAGAACUCCGGAGCAAUAAUGGUGAGUGCUACAAGGCAGCUUUAAAAUAUUCCAUCAAGUUCUUCGUAUCCCUUCGUUCCACACCUUGUCAAAACAAGGAGCUUGUUCUUCAGAGGAAGGCUGCAGUCUUUCUAACCAGAACCUUUCUACUGCAGUUUUAAAGUAAGUUUAUUGAUAAAAUUGCUGGUUUUGUCUGUCUAGAAAACAACCCAUUUAUUAUUAUUAUUUAAAUUCCAAAUGCUGCUGAUUAACUUCCAUUUUUGAAGGAGUUUUAUCAUUAUGUGGAUUCAAGUGUGUGUAUGGGGUGCUUAGUUUUUUCUUACCAGUGCUUUUACAGGACAUGUCACAGAGUUGAAACAAUUUCACUUAAUUUUUAGUGCUUUUGUGAGAAAUCUGCUGAUCUCGGGUGACAUCUAUCUCAACAGUAGAAGUAUAGUGUAUGUGGCACGUGUGGAUUGUCAGAUUUGCCAUGGCCUGCUGGUACAGCCACAGUGCCUGGGCAUGUGUGUGCCAAGCAAUGAGACUCUUCUCAAAGCAUGGGAAAGUCCUGGUGCAAUUUCUUGUAAGAGGAUUUCCAGGACAGGUUUUUUGGAUGAUAAUGUCUCUUGCGUUCGCUUGUGGUCUCCCAGAGGCCUGGUGCUAUGCAGAUCUUUAGCAGGUAAUAUUUGUGUUGGUGGGCUUCAUAUACUUUGGAUUUAGCUUCAGUUUUGCACUUGCAUUGAAUUAUUCCCAGAUUUUUUUUUUUGCCUCACUACAAUUUACUGAUGGUACGAAUGUCAAGAUGUAGCCAUUUAGCUCACUGAUUUGUGGGAGCAAUGAGGUAAUUUUAUGCCCGGGUCUUCUCAUUUAUACCUGCCAGCAACACAGAGGCAGUCUUUCCUAAUCAGGCAUUAAAAGUUCUUGAUUAAUCUCUGACUUUGUUGGAGUCACUCCAGAUUUAAGCCAGCAUAAUUCAUUUUGGGAUCAGACCCAUUAAGUGCCUUCCAGUGAGUAAUACAGUGUGUCAUUCUUCUGCUCUUAAGGAUUUCUAAAACUAGGAGAGAAUGUUGCAGAUCGGUGAGAUAUGUGUCUCUUAUGACUCCAGUGGCAUCUUCUUUCCCCUUCACCAUCUCUCAGAGAUUCUUCCCUGGGUGAAUUUUCUGUAUUUCACUUUCUGUGUUCAGCUGGAAGUAUUAACAAAUGGCGAAGUGUGAUACUGUCGAUCCAGUGUUCUGUAUGGCCAGGCAAUCAGGACAGAAAUAAUUAACACAGAAAAUGGCCUGCCAGUAUCCUGCUGAAUGAAAUUGGAAGAAGUUCAAAUACAAAAAGAUUUUUUAGUUUACCACUUCUGAGCUACAUGUAGCUAUAGCCAUUUGGAAAGACAACUGCUAGCUUCCAUUUCAGACUGCUUGACAGCACUAAGUAGAGCACUGAGAGCAUCCCUCUGUUUCAGCUUGAGCAGCUCACUAGACUGGGGUGCAGAGCAUCAUUUGCAGAUGAGAGAAGUUAGAAAGGGAAUUGGGUGCUGCUCUGAAGCAGUAUAAGAGGGUGAAUAUGAGUGGAGAUGUCAGGUGAUUAUGUGUUCUUUACUACAGAGUUUACUGAGCAUCCAUGGCCAGGUUAAAUCUAUGUUUUUACAACUGUACUGUCAUUUGGCUCAUUUUUCUGCCUUUCCUCCUCAUCCUGAUACAGAGCCAUUCUGCUCCCCAUUUUUGGGAUCAUCAAGCCCAUCUCUUUAGCUUCAUCUCCUUCACUAAAUCACAAGUGACCUAAUAUAAGUGACCUAAUAAUUCAGAUGAACUGAAUUUCACCAGAAAACUCUUCAUGUCAUCAGACAUCAAGCCACUGAGUUGCUUGUGAAUGUGGUAUGCCCCUCACACCUUCAGAACCUUCAGUAACAGGUUUUAACUUGUUCAAACUGGGCUGUAAGUAUCCAGUUUCAGAGGGCUGAUAAAACAAACAAGUCAGCCCCGUGCUUUCCUUGCUGUAAAAUGGUUAUCUGCACCAAUAGAAUUGCAUGUAGAAUAAAAUUACACAUAGUUCUGUCCUGCCA